AGGUUCCGAGGCUCAGAUUGAAAUUCCGAGAGUACCGUUGGUUUCGGGAGGCGAUUCUAAGUCUAGAAUGAGUCUUGGUUGAAUUUUUAGACGCUCCGUUUGAGUUUCGAAUUUUUUUGGCGUUAAACUAGUUUCUUGGCAUCUUAUUGAAUUUCGGGUCAAGGAGUCCUCGAAUUCAAAUUCCGACGGUUCCAUUGAGUCCGGAACGUCGAAUUUAGUGGGGG
rnacentral:lncRNA from 1 species